rnacentral:rRNA from 1 species
UACAGAGGUCUCAAGCGUUGUUCGGAUUCAUUGGGCGUAAAGGGUGCGUAGGCGGCGCGGUAAGUCGGGUGUGAAAUUUCGAGGCUUAACUUCGAAACUGCAUUCGAUACUGCCGUGCUUGAGGACUGGAGAGGAGACUGGAAUUUACGGUGUAGCGGUGAAAUGCGCAGAUAUCAGGAGGAACACCAGCGGCGAAGGCGGCGCUCUGGGCUGGAACUGACGCUGAGGAGCGAAAGCGUGGGGAGCGAACAGG